GGGAAAUCAACGGUCUAAACGAGCAGCUCGAUGAGGAUGCUCGCUGCUUGGAACAUCUUCAACUUCAGCUUCUGCAAGAAAAGAGCAAAAGAUCAGAAGUUGAAAGAGAAAAUGCAAUGCUGCAUGAUCAAAUAAACAUGCUAAUGAGCAUGCUAGACAAUGAAGGAGCAGAUGGCUCAGAUGAACCCUAAUAAUAUCAUCCUAUGUAUACUUCUUUGUUUCUUUAAUAUUCUUUCUUGUAGAUUAUGUGGUGUGGG
rnacentral:misc_RNA from 1 species